UACGUAGGCAGCGAGCGUUGUUCGGAGUUACUGGGCGUAAAGCGCGUGUAGGCGGCUCGGCAAGUCGGGUGUGAAAUCCCCGGGCUCAACCCGGGAACUGCGUCCGAUACUGGAAGGCUUGAAUCCGGGAGAGGGAUGCGGAAUUCCAGGUGUAGCGGUGAAAUGCGUAGAUAUCUGGAGGAACACCGAUGGCGAAGGCAGGUCACUGGGCCGCAACUGACGCUGAGGAGCGAAAGCAUGGGGAGCGAACAGG
rnacentral:rRNA from 1 species